GCCACCGUAGCUCAGUUGGCAGAGCAGCGGUUUUGUAAACCGCAGGUCGACGGUUCGAGUCCGUCCGGUGGCU
rnacentral:tRNA from 2 species